GGAUGUGAGGGCAAUCUGGCUGCGACAUCUGUCACCCCAUUGAUCGCCAGGGUUGAUUCGGCUGAUCUGGCUGGCUAGGCGGGUGUUCCCAUCCUCCCUCACUGCUCCAUGUGCAUCCCUCCCGAAGCUGAGCACUCAGUCGAAGAGGACGACCAGCCCCGAUAGAGGAGGACCGGUUUUCGGUCAAGGGUAUAAGAGUACCUGCGCUACUCUGCUAGAACCUCCAAACAAGCUCUCAGAAGGCUAAAUCUGAGGAACUUGGUUCAAAGGCAGACUGAGAAGACAAAUCCAAGAGAUUCGUAUCUCCAAUU
ensembl:misc_RNA 7SK 7SK RNA